UGGGGAAUAUUGCGCAAUGGAGGAAACUCUGACGCAGCAACGCCGCGUGAAGGAUGAAGGUUUUCGGAUCGUAAACUUCUUUGAUCGGGGACGAAUAAUGACGGUACCCGAAAAACAAGCCACGGCUAACUACGUGCCAGCAGCCGCGGUAAUACGUAGGUGGCGAGCGUUGUCCGGAAUUACUGGGUGUAAAGGGCGUGUAGGCGGGAAGACAAGUCGGAUGUGAAAUACCGAGGCUUAACCUCGGGGCUGCAUCUGAAACUGUUUUUCUUGAGUGUCGGAGAGGAAAGUGGAAUUCCCAGUGUAGCGGUGAAAUGCGUAGAUAUUGGGAGGAACACCAGUGGCGAAGGCGACUUUCUGGACGACAACUGACGCUGAGGCGCGAAAGCGUGGGGAGCAAACAGG
rnacentral:rRNA from 1 species